AGUCCAUGAUGAGCACAUAUUAACAUAGUAAGCCUUUGAAUCUGUCCCAAGUUUCAAAUAGAGACUCUUCAUCUUUUUGCAUAAAGUUUGAGAUAAGAUUCCUAAGGUG